UGCAUCGCAAUCGCUGAUGAAAGGGA
rnacentral:piRNA from 1 species